UACGGAGGGUGCAAGCGUUAUCCGGAUUCACUGGGUUUAAAGGGAGCGUAGGAGGGCAGGUAAGUCAGUGGUGAAAUCUUCGAGCUUAACUCGGAAACUGCCGUUGAUACUAUCUGUCUUGAAUACCGUGGAGAUGAGCGGAAUAUGUCAUGUAGCGGUGAAAUGCUUAGAUAUGACAUAGAACACCAAUUGCGAAGGCAGCUC
rnacentral:rRNA from 1 species